GAUGAAGAACGCAGUGAAAUGCGAUACUUGGUGUGGAUUGCAGAAUCCCGUGAACCAUCGAGUCUUUGAACGCAAGUUGCGCCCGAAGCCAUUAGGCCGAGGGCACGCCUGCCUGGGCGUCACACGUCGUUGCCCCCCCAUCUACUCCUUCGGGAUUGCGGGGGGCGGAUGAUGGCCUCCCGUGCGCCUCGUCGCGCGGUUGGCCUAAAUGCCAAGUCCUCGGCGACGCACGCCACGACAAUCGGUGGUUGCGAAACCUCGGUUGCCUGUCGUGUGCGGUCGUCGCGCAUCGAGGGCUCGAAAAAAUUGCCGGGCUUCGGCUCGACUUUCAACGCGACCCCAGGUCAGGCGGGGUUACCCGCUGAAUUUAAGCAUAUCAAUAAGCGGAGGA
rnacentral:misc_RNA from 1 species